CCGCACCCUCUCCCUCCGUCCAUUCGUCAGCCCCCACCCCCAAUCCCACCCCGUGCCCGCUGUCUCCGCCGCCUCGCCACCCCAUCUUCCCCCUUCCUCCCGCGCCUGCCGCCGCCGCCCCUCUUUCCUCCCCUGCGCCAAGCCUGCCGCCGCCCCCGGUGACGAGGACCUCAGCGAUAAUCCAGUUCCCCUCUUGCGACGAUGGCGAGGACGAGAGGAGGUGGGAUGAGGACCGGGCGAGGAGGAGUGCAUCUCACUCCCCGUCUGCCAGCACUGCCCUCCAUCGUGCUCUCCCCUCUCCAACCCCGGCCGCCCCGAGCCCUCCAAGUGCACAUACCGGCCCCAAACCAAGAGGUUGGCCCCAGAUCGAGGCGCCCCUGACCUCCGUCCGUGGAGCUUCCCCAAUCUGCCGCCCCCUUCAAGCUGUCGACUGAGACUCAGGCGAGCGCCGUGGAGGCGAGUCAAGCGGGCUCCAGCGGUGCUAUGGAUGGGAUAUUUACCGCCGUCGCUGUGAGGGCUGCCACGAUCUAAGGUUCAUGCCAAUCAAUUUUUCUGGCUGAUCUAAUUGAUGCAAUCCUCCAGACAUUUAUCUCCAUACUCAGUAUAGCAGUGUAUUACUCUAAAGACGACAUCUAGAUUGGGCAAGUAAGCGUUUCUGAUCAUUUGUGAAAUUUGUCUGUUUGACAGGGAAACAUUUUGCCAAGCAUUGCAGGCUGAAAUCUGUCACAAAUCUCAUCUUUUGGAUUCUUGCGGAACUUCUUUUGACAUUCCUAAAGGUAUUGAGAUUAGCUCCAUGUGCACAUUUUUUUAAUUUAAAUUUAAGCAAAGAGGUACGCUUAUUAUAAGAUUCAGCCAUGUAGUAAUACUGCACAUGUGUAAUACUAAUUCUUUACUAUAUAAAUUGGAAACCAUAGGAAUCUUUUUCAAUUUGGCAUAUCAAAGAACAACUCAUAUUGAAUUCUCCUGGUAAUUUAUUUUUGUAAGAUGCUGGUUUACUCUUUAUAGUAUCUGGACCUAUUUUUUCAAUUGUGUGGUGUUCUCAUAAAUGGACUUGGCACUCUAAUGGUCUUGUUACUACAACAAUAUUGAGUAAUAAAAAUUUCCUAUUCCGGUUAGCAGAUCUUCUGGGCACAAGUUUGGGUAUGAGCAAUUCCUUCUCUCACUUGGAGAAUGUCUCAUUUGAUCAUACCAUUCUGUAGUUUAACUUCACUAAUAUCAAUACAGUAGCUGGUUGUUCUUCUUUCUUUAGAAAAUUUUAAGCACGUGUAUAUAUUUUUUUAAGGGGCUCAUUCAUCAGCCCUAAGCACACAUUGCAUUAGAUGCUUGCAAACAAGGUGCUCACACAAGAGUUUUUUCGAUUUUAAUCAAUAAUUUUGUGCUAAUAAUUUUGAUUUUGCCUUGCCUUCCUGUCAGGAGUAAUUUCUUAAGAAUUCCUACAAGGAAUAACUGCCUCAUUGGAAAUUAUUGUAGAAGUGUGGAAGGAUAAGGGGAUAUUACAACAACAAACAAGAAGAGGCUUCAUGAUCAUUUGAGUUAGAACUACAACCCAAAAAAUAAAUGGUCUGUCAAGUUAUUAAUAUUCUGGUUUCAUACUGCAAAAAUAGAAAAGUGAUUAAAACCCUCCCAAGUAGUCUGUCCUGCUGCACUUUCUUUUCUAUAAUCCUGAUGCCAUUUUGUUUCAUGUGCCUGGAAGUGAUGGGAGAAGGUGGAGGAGAAGGCCUUUAGAAGUUCUUAAUUUGCAGGUUCAUUUUUUUUUUGCUACUUUCAGAGGAGCAACUGAUAUAAAUUGAUGGUUUCAUUAUCAUUUAAUAGGUACUAAUUUGUCAUGUGCAGGCUUCAGAGGAGCAACUGAUUUUUUUGAACAAUCUAGGAGCGUGGGGGGAAACUCGUUCUUGAUCAUCUCAUGUAAGAAGUUUGAUUCUUGCUUUACCUAAAUGAGUAGCUGGACCUUACAAGACUGAAUAUCCUUUCACUGUCAGCACAGCUCUUUGAUUGAUCCCACCUGUCUUGGUUUGACAAUUGAUUGUGUAUUGCCUGCUUAGUGCUUAGCAUGUAAAACAAUUGCCAUUGUUGAUGUGUAGAUAUAGUUUAGAAACCAAAUAUUCUGAAAUUGCAGCUGCUAUGGAUAGUUCUGAAAUUGUUCUGAAAAUGCAGCUGCUACACUAUAAUGGCAUCUUUCCGAAAAUUUAAAUGUCACUCAUAUAAGCUGCCAUCCUCAUUCUGUCAGUGACAACAUAGUGUGUACUUACUGAAUGUUCUAACUCAUAGCUUAUUAGAUGUAUCUAUAAACUCAGCCGUGGGCAAGAUUUCAUAUACAACCUUAACUUUCCCAGUUCUCAUGCAAGUAGUAGUGUUUUUACAAGUGCUAAUGAAAUCAUGGCCUAAUGCCAUGAUGUGCCUUAAAUAUUGUGAGUGAACGACAGGGUAAAUCGACAGGGUAACUUGCUAUAUUGUUGUUUGCACACGUUAGUAUUUUAAAGCAGCAUAGCCAUAUCUAUAAUAUUGAAUAGAAAAUUGCACUAUUCUUGUUUUUAAAGCAGCAUAGCCAUAUCUAUACUAUUGAAUAGAAAUUGCACUAUUCUUGUUUCUUGGAGAUGAGAUACCUUUGCGUGAUUCCUGAUAUUGUUCUGUAUUAUAGAAUGCUCAACACCUGAGAUGUAUUUUGAUUUUUCUAAUUUUUUUAUGCUCAUGUGAAGGUAAAGGUAAACGGGUAAGUUCAAAGUGUUAUAAAUGGUUUGCGAAAUUCUUUUUUUAUUUACUAUGCUAAACUCAGUAAUUAUUGAUCAUAUUUAUUUUUCCCAUCUAACGGGCAACAUAAUUGCCAAGGGCUCUCGGUAAUUGAACUUUUGCUAUUUUGUGACAUGUACAUGAGUUCUUUCUUGGACCAAAGAUGUUUCAGUAUGAUAUUUGCAGUGAUGUUGGAACUUGAUUAGUUGCUCUUGAGGCCUGAGCUGUGCUCAUUUGCUUUGUUGUGUUUAUAAGGAACAAUGGCCUAUAGGCUAUAUGUUGAUGGAUAAAUAUACUAGAGAAUGCCUGGCUGUCUGGUAACAAAUACUAAUUUUACAAAUGUCUACAUGGGAGAGUUAUGAAUCCAGGAUUCUAAUACUUUGGUAAAUAAACAAUUUUGCCAUGAUCAGUUGCUGAAUUUCAAUAAUACCCGGCCGAUCCCCUCGUCGCGCAGCUCCAUUACCAGGCCGGGGGUGUUCAGAACAUCAAGAGCUUGGUCCCCGUCGUCCUCGACCCUGAGUCGCCCUCCUACGCCCGCUGGCGGGACAUGGUGCUGCUCAUUCUCCGCCGCUACGCCCUUGAUGACCAUGUCCUCGUCGACACCUUCCCUGCGGCCCGGACAGCUACGUGGCUUCGCCUCGACAGCAUCGUCCUGUCGUGGAUCCUGGGCACCAUCUCCCUCGACCUCCACGACCUCGUCCGCGGCACCCCCGACACCACCGCCCGCCGGGCCUGGCUGGCGCUCGAGGCCCAGUUCCUGGGCAACGCCGAAGCCCGGGCUCUUCGUCUCGACGCCAGCUUCCGCACUUUCGUCCAGGGCGACCUCUCCGUUGGCGAGUUCUGCCGGAAGAUGAAGACCAUGGCGGACUCCCUCGGUGACCUUGGCUGGGCCGUGGAGGACCGGAUCUUGGUUCUCAACGUUCUUCGCGGCCUCAACGAGCGCUACGCCCACCUCCGCACCUGGAUCACCCGGCAGCGGCCCUUCCCCACCUUCCUGCAGGUCCGUGAUGACCUUGUCAUGGAGGAGCUUACUCAGGGCAUCCAGCCUGGGUCCCUUCCUGCGCCGGGCUCCGCGUCUUCCUCGACCGCUCUUGCUGUGACUCCACCGCCACGACCCUCCGCUUCGCCACCGUCGUCCCUUCUUGGUCCUCCUCCUCCUAGGGGGGGCCGUGGCGGCCGCCGUCGCCGCGGUGGGGGGUGUGGUGGGGGGCGUGGUGGGGGCACUCCGGCGGGCACACCGGCGCCUCCACGGGGCUCUCCCUGGCCGUCCUUUGCCAACCCAUGGUCAGGGCGCAUCUCUAUGUGGCCCUUCCAGGCCACCGGAGGCGAGCCUCAUCCUCCGACCGCCAUGCUCGCUGGCGCUGUCCCGGCUGCUCCGUUUGCGUCGCCGUGGGCUCCACCUCCCGGGGCCUCGCCUGGGCCUGUCGGGUGGGACCCGACAGCCUUGGCACGCUCUUUCGGCACCAUGGCCCUGACUCCUCCAAUCGGUCAGGACUGGAUCGCCGACUCAGGUGCCACUUUCCAUACUACACCCGACCCUGGUAUCCUCUCUUCCGUUCACCCUCCUUCUUCCUCCCACCCUUCGUCUAUCAUGGUCGCAAAUGGCUCUUGUCUUCCUAUCAUCUCCGUGGGUACAGCUCACACUCCCGGUUCUUUUCGGGUUUCUGAUGUUCUUGUUGCUCCCUCCAUGGUUCACAACCUUCUUUCUAUUCGCCGUUUUACCACUGACAAUUCCUGUUCUGUUGAAUUUGACUCCUCUGGUCUUACUGUGAAGGAUUUGGCUACCCGGCGACCUCUUCUCCGAUGUGACAGCACCGGGCCCCUUUACUCCCUCCGAUUUCCUGCGUCCACUUCUUCCGCUUCGCCCUCCGCUUCUUCAGCUGCUUUUGCCGCCACAGCUUCUUCCACUACAUGGCACCGGCGUCUUGGUCAUCCUGGCCGUGCUGUCCUGACAUAGCUUAGUCGUAGUUCCGACAUACCAUGUACUCGGGCUCAUGAUGAGCACCUGUGUCAGGCGUGCCAACUGGGCCGUCAUGUUCGACUUCCUUUUCCUACCUCCUCUUCACAUGCGACCCAUGUGUUUGAUCUUGUACAUUGCGAUCUAUGGACAUCGCUUGUUCUGAGCAUUUCUGGCUAUAAGUACUAUCUUGUUGUGGUUGAUGAUUUCUCUCAUUAUUCUUGGACUUUUCCCUUGCGUGCCAAGUCUGAUACUUUCCCCACGCUUCUCCACUUCUUCGCUUGGGUGUCCACUCAGUUCGGUCUCACCAUCAAGGCCGUCCAAUGUGACAACGGCCGCGAGUUUGAUAACACCACCUCCCGUGCCUUCUUCCUCUCUCACGGCGUGCACCUACGCAUGUCAUGUCCCUAUACCUCCUCCCAGAACGGUAAGGCUGAACGCAUGAUUCGUAUCACGAACGACACCAUGCGCUCUCUUCUGUUCUAGUCUUCUCUCCCUGCCCCCUUCUGGGCUGAGAGUCUUCACACCUCCACCUAUCUCCUUAACCGACUACCUUCCGUUGCCUGCCCCGCUCCCACUCCACACCACGCUCUCUUCGGUACCUCCCCCCGCUACGAUCACCUUCGGGUCUUCGGGUGUGCGUGUUAUCCUAACACCGCUGCCACCGCUCCUCAUAAGCUGGCUCCCCGUUCGACUCAGUGCGUCUUCCUCGGGUACUCCCCGGAUCACAAGGGGUACCGUUGCUUUGACCUCUCCUCUCGGCGGGUCCUCAUCUCUCGCCACGUGGUGUUUGACGAGUCCGUCUUCCCUUACUCAACCACCUCCCCACCUCCUUCCACCUCCGACCCUGAUCUCUCCUCCCUAUUUCCCACUGACCCGGUGGACCAGCCACCGCUACCGUUGUGUCCUGCAGGUACUGCUCCGCCGUGGUUCUCAUCGGGCUCGACGUCCACCGGUGCUGUCCCUGACCCUGCGCCCAGCGCGGGUCCGACGGUGCCGGCCUCUGGUGCUGCCUCUACCCCUUCGCCCUGCGCGGGACCGGUGGCACCGCCCGCAGCACCUGCUGUCCGGUUUGCGCAGCCCGUGCGCGUCUACCAGCGCCGGGCGCGGCCGGCUCCCCUGGACCUGCAGCCGGCCCCACCACCGCCGUCGCCGCCUCAGUCAUCGCCGGUGGACUCUUCUCCGUCGGCGACGCCUACACCACCACCACUUCUGCCGGCCCCGACUGCCCGUGUCACGCCGUCGGUGUACCAUCCGCCUCUCCUACACUAGCACCCGCGUCACGUUCACCCUAUAGUGACGCGACUUGCGGCUGGUACCCUGCAGCCCCGAGCUCUUUCAGCGAUGCUGGCGCGUCGCAGGUUUCUCCUGUACCCUCCUCCGUCCGCGGCGCCCUGUCGGAUUCUCACUGGCGCCGCGCGAUGGAAGAGGAGUACGCGGCGCUCCUCGCCAACCAGACUUGGGAUCUGGUGCCCCGUCCGCCUGGCUCCAACGUCGUCACCGGCAAGUGGAUCUGGACACACAAGCGGCGGGCUGAUGGUACCCUCGAGCGGUACAAGGCUCGCUGGGUUCUCCGGGGUUUCACUCAGCGCCCUGGUGUCGACUACGAUGAGACGUUCAGUUCGGUGGUCAAGCCAGCUACUGUCCGGACUGUUCUCUCACUGGCUCUCUCCCGCUCCUGGCCCGUGCAUCAGCUCGACAUCAAGAACGCCUUCCUGCACGGUACUCUAACUGAGACUGUUUACUGCAGCCAGCCAGCGGGGUUUGUUGACUCUUCUCGGCCUGAUAUGGUCUGCCGGCUCAACAAGUCACUUUAUAGCCUCAAGCAGGCCCCUCGAGCUUGGUAUUCGCGGUUUGCUGCCUACCUACUGACGCUGGAUUUUGUGGAGGCCAAGUCCGAUACUUCACUGUUUAUCUAUCACCAUGGUGCGGAGACUGCUUAUCUGCUGCUCUAUGUUGAUGACAUUGUCCUCACUGCCUCCAGUCCGUCCCUCCUACGGCGGAUCAUCACCUCACUUCAGCAGGAGUUUGCUAUGAAGGAUCUGGGUGUGCUCCAUCACUUUCUUGGGGUCACCGUCGAGCCUCGUCCGGCUGGCCUCUUUCUUCACCAGCGGCAGUAUACUCUUGAUAUCCUGGAGCGAGCUGGGAUGAUUGACUGCAAGCCCUGCUCCACUCCAGUUGACACUCAGGCCAAGUUGUCAGAGGCCGACGGCACUCCUGUGAAAGAUGCUACUGCGUACCGGAGUCUGGCUGGGGCCCUUCAGUACCUCACUUUCACCAGGCCGGAUAUCACUUAUGCGGUUCAGCAGAUUUGUCUCCACAUGCAUGAUCCCAGGGAGCCCCAUCUCACUGCUCUCAAGCACCUACUCCGUUACCUCCGGGGCUCUGUGGACUACGGCCUCCUCCUUCACAGGUCUCUCUCCACUGAGCUCGUUGUCUACACCGACGCUGACUGGGCCGGGUGUCCGGACACUCGGCGCUCUACCUCCGGCUACGCCGUCUUUUUGGGUGGCAACCUGGUGUCCUGGUCGUCCAAGCGUCAGCCGGUGGUCUCCCGCUCCAGUGCCGAGGCGGAGUACCGCGCUGUCGCUAACGGCGUGGCCGAGGCAUCAUGGCUUCGGCAGCUCCUUGCCGAGCUCCACACCCCUUCUUCCUGGAGCACUCUUGUCUAUUGCGACAACGUCAGUGCGGUGUACCUCUCCACCAACCCUGUUCAGCACCAGCGGACCAAGCAUGUGGAGAUUGACCUUCACUUCGUCCGGGAUCGGGUCGCCAUCGGCGAUGUUCGGGUCCUCCACGUCCCGACCACCUCUCAAUUUGCUGACAUCUUCACCAAGGGCCUCCCGUCACCUGCCUUCACCGAGUUUCGCUCCAGCCUCAACAUCACCUGUGGCUAGUUGCGUCUGUGGGGGGGCUUGUGUGUGUGCCUUUCUUUUCAUGUCCAGUCUGCAACUCCGCUGCGUCGGUAGUUCAGACUGCGGGGGAGUGUUGGUGUAUGUGUGUAUUAUGGCCCAAUAAGGCCCAUGUAUGACUGCUAUAUAGCUACCCACUAGGGUUAGCCCAAUAGAUAAGAUUUAUCCUCUAAUAAUUUCCCAUACCAUUUAAUCUCUUAACAAUUAGGUGAAUAUUGGUAUUAAUAGUAUAUGUCCAUCCUUGCAUUAAUUGGUAGGAGAUAUGGGAGAUAUGAUGUUACUUGUUAAAGUCAAAAUUGUAUUUGGGAGCACCUACCGGGGCUAGGAGAUAAGAUGUUACUUGUUAAAUGUUGAAAUUUGUAUCGAGUACCUAUUUUUCUGUGAAAGAACAAAAGAAUAAUCAAAGAUUGAUAAGGUACAUGCUUAUCAACGCUUGUUCCAGGGGACUUAUGUUGUUAAGGUGGCUUAUAUACCAGAAUGGGUUUUUAACCCUGACAAUUAUAUGAAGUUUAUGGUUGUUUUUUAAGGAUAAAUGACCAUAAAGUACAUUGUUUUGAAUCAUUAUUAUUUUUUUCCAACUGCAAAAUCCUGCUUGUAUCUAUGUUUCGUCAGCAGUCUACUGAUCGUGCUCCAAACUCUAAAUCUGUUUGCGAUCUUUCGUGCUACUAAUUUGUCUAGCAAACAGUUAUGUUUGGAAGCUAUAAUCAUCAGUGUGAUUUAUUAGAUUCUUAAAUGAUAAGCCCUCUUCCAUAAGUGAAGCUUGAUUAAUGUGAUUUUUGCUUCAAAUCUAAAACAUGUCUCAUUCAGCAGACAUGUAGAUGAGCUCUGGAGGGAUGCAAAAUCUGGGAACCACACUACUUAGAUGCACACCUGGCCUUGCACGAGAGACGAACAUCCACUUGCAAGGCAUGUGCUUGCUGAUUUGGAAGUACAAAGAGGAAGGAUUAAUUGGAGUCGGUAUUAUUUCUUCUGUCAAGAGGAAAAACCAAAGUUGUAAUAAAUUUGGGCAUAUGGACAAGGAUGUGCCAUUUGCAAAGUAGAAAAAUAUAGAGUUAGUGGAGUGAAGAUGUUUUUUUUUUCUAAAUCGCAGGCCCUACUUCACGUUGUGAAUGAAUUCACGCUCCCAACAUUUAUGCUUUGGCAACAAUGCCAAAGAAUUUAUUUGUGACUACCUAAAGAAAAGGAUUAUUUAUGACAGUUAUGAAUAUUACUUGUGAACAUCAAUUAGGUGACUCACAAAAGAGCAUCGUUUCAGUAAACUUUUUGCUCGGUAUUGACAGCGGUGGGUGGUGUGCCGAUUGAUUCUUUGUUUUGCUUGGUGGUGACCGGUCAUGUUUGGUGGCGGCUAUGUCGGUGCUUUGCUUUUGCUAUGGUGGUUUUGGGUCUUGCGGCGAAGUGGAUGGAGACCUAGUUGCAGACUCGGGGGUGCGAAUGUCCAUGGUGGUGGUUGGCGACCAUGCAGUGGAUGUUGGUGCAGUGUCCAGAGGGCAAGACUUCUCCUUGGCGUUUGAGGGCGAUGGUUUGGAGGGGCCGUGCACCAGUGGUGACCACAAAGUUGGCAUGAGGCUGGCAUGGUAGGAGGUGGCCGUCAGAUUUGCUUCCCUAAAGGGAUCUGGGUGUUGAGGCAUUGGGCGGUUCCGCAGAGCGGUGACUGCUUCAGUGCGAGGUGGUGAUCCUCUGUUGGAUGCUAGAGCCCCCAUUCGGCGUUCUGUUCCUUCGACGAGGUGAUUGGGUUGCUUGGUACUUCAUUUUUCAUCCUGAGCUCGGUACACGCAGUUAAAAGUUGAUAUCCAGAUGCAGUUGUUCUUGUGUCGAUUCAAUGGCUUGCAGCAACCUAUGGCGACUAGCCCUGUUUUUGCGGGUGUUAGUCCGGUGUAGGCCAUCUUCGCAAGGAGGCGCAAGCGGACCCAAUACAUGGCAGUUACACGGCUUGCAGCGGACCACAGCGACUAACUCUGCAUGGUAGUUGCUAGCUCGGCGCGGGACAUCGUCGUUACCGAUGGCGUUGGCGGUGACGAUGGGUUUCCUCUGAGGGCCUUGUGUCCGAGCGACAGUGCUGCUAUUGGUUCUUGAGCAGUGGGUUUGUGGUGUGUAGGUGGUGUCUCUACCCCCACUCGACCAACCUAAGUUUUGGAGGAGUGUUUAGUUCAGCGUGCGUUGAUGACCCAAUCCAACCUGCCGGGGGUAGAGUUAUGGAGGCUCAUGUUGAUGUCCCAAUCCGACCGGGCAGAGUUGUCUUGUGGAGAUGAGUUGUGAGGCUUGCGUCGAUGUCCCAAUCCGUCCGGCCUAAGUUGUUUGAGUUGAGUUGAGUUCGGCGCGUAUUGAUGUCCCAAUCCAGCCCGCCGGUGUUGUUUUUGUGCUUUUUUCUUUUUUGUUGCCUGGUUCUCGAGCCAUAUCAAUAGAAACGCACUCGUCGAGUGUUGUUCGUUCAUAAAAAAAGUAAACUUUGGUAGAAACUAUCUCUGCUAGAUUUGCUGCUGUUGACGUGGUGAUAGACCGUGCACAAGCUGAAAGUGUCUAAGGUUAAAUAAAAUUGUUUGUAGUUGGAGAAACCAUUGGGUACUAUUUCUAAUCCAUUUAUUAAACCAAUGAUAUCUUGUUUACGAUUUUACCAAUCUUGUACUUUAUUAUAUGAUGUUCACGGGAUUACGGUGUCUUUCAAAACUAAUGUUAUAUGAUAUAGUUUUCAUUAAAGAGUGCUAAUUUGGCACCAUGCCGUCCCCCGCAGCCUCCCCAACGUCCGUCCCAUGCUGGGACUACGGAGCGAGAGGGGCGGGCUGGGGAUGUGAGGGUCUGAGAGCGCGAUUAGCCCGGAAAUGGUGAGAGAGAAAAAUUGCACGUGGAAACAAACGUGGUCUUGUACGACCAAUCUAUUUCACGGCAUCAUUAAAAAAAUGAUCAGCGAAUAUUGUGCAUACAGUAACAAACACAAGGCAUAAAUAAUCUUUUUCAGAGUUCUCAGAAUCAAUCAAUUAGGACUACCACCAGUAGUGGGUUCUCACGCCAUUCUCAGAUUUAUAUUUACUGACAAACGAACUAAUAAUAAAACCACAAAUAAGGCGAUUGAAGUCCUCAUAUGAUAACCACAGGACAAAAACAUUCAGGUCGCAUCCCUUUCCCAGAAAGUAUGUGCUGACUCAGGAUGUAUGUCACAUGCAAUUCACGCAGGCCAGUUGAAAUAUGGUAGAGGUCGAACCAUGUUACAUCUUUCACAAGGGAGUUGAAGUUUAACAAGCAAUUCAAUACUCCACGCUAGGACCCUGACAACCAGCUCAAGGAGGAUCAGGACUUGUGCAUCGAUGAUAAUUCAAUGCUUUCUCCUGCGUUCAUAAAUAAAGCGCGGGGCAAGGGAAGGAUACCACCAAUAUGGCCCAGGCACAGAAAAUCUGAUGUCGAAUAAAAUGUAUUAAUGAAAAUCACUGAAUUAUUUGUGUGAAACAAACCAAGAAAAUGGUAUUGACUUGUCAAAUAAUACCUACCUAUUUGGAUCACCGUCUUCGUUAAUCUUAGCAGCAGCAGACCUACGAAUAAACAAAAAAUAGUUGCCAUCAAAUAAUUCAGAUACUUGCUUAACCAAAACAUAUAGAUUUGGUCACUCAAUGAAGCAGCUUAGCAUUUCAACUUAACUAGAAGGAUAUGGCUAAUGUGGCUGAAGAUGCUCAGUUAUUAAGCCAACAUCAUAGGCUUGGGAGAAUUUACAGCAAGACUAUGGAUAUCAACAAACCCCCUUUAUGAAGAGGAUCGAAAUCAUGCAACAUCACUUCAAAUCAAAUGCUUUAUGUGCAAACAGCACUGAGUGGUAUAUUGAAGAAAAUGCUUGACAUUGCACAUGAGCAUCAAACUAAGUAAUAACAACCAAGAUAGAACAGCCAAACUGACCUAGAAAACGAUUUCCAGUUCAUGGUACUAAUGCCAAAAAUUCAAGUAGAAAAUAUGGGAACGGUCACAAGUCGUCGAUAAGUAUAGUGCACUAGCGCAAUUCCCUUAAACCAUAAUAUUAUGUACAUGAAUAUACCACAAGAAAAACUACAUAAAUGAAAGGCAUACCCUUUUCUAUCAAAGUCCUUCAAUUGCUCCAGAAUUAUAUGUCUUGGUAGAUAAGGAGUUCUUUUCGCAUCAUAGAAGUUCAUGCCAAUGAAAUUCCCACAAAAAUCAAUAAGGGGGCCUCCAAUCCCAGCCUUAAACAAAAAGAAUAGAAAUUAACACACGUGAGGAUGACAUUUUUAGUGCAAUAAAGAUGUAAUGUAUUAAAUUACUCAAAUUCUAGAUGCAACAACUAAUUCCACCACAAGAGAAACCAAUGCAGUGUACCUUGGUGAUCUUACAAGUACAGAUUCCAUGUUCUUCGCUGACAAGAUUGCUUGAAUUGUCAGUCAGCACCCCACUUGUUGCCAUGAGUUUUCCUGUAUCAAAGGUACUCCCUAUAGCUACUACCUGAUUAUCAUUGAGAGGAUAAACUGGCUUCUCAAUGUGGAGUUUUGCUAUUCGACGACAAUGGAAAUUCCUUAUGCUGACAACAGCAAUAUUAUAAUGUAAAUUAUGAUGCUGCAGUUUCCCUGUGGCAUGUUUCUUAUUUGGAAGUAACACACGAAUCUGCAAUGAAUGACAAAGUUAGAAUUAAAAUAUGAAAUAAACAAGCAGGGGUAUAGAAUGAUUUGCAGUACAAACCUUCAAGCUGCCAUCAAUCUCGUUUUUAUUAGCCAAUCUAACCAAACUCGCUGAUGUCAGGAUUCUUGUGAUGGAUUUGUGGCGGCCUAUAAGUACACCAGUGCAAGCAAAAAACCUAGUUUCUCCUACAAAGAUCAUUGUUGCAAUCAUGGUAUUGAAAUUAAAAUAAAAGAAGUAAAUAUGGGAAAGUAAUAUGAUCUUAUAACAGCAAAAUCACCACGGAAUGAAGCAAGUGAGACAACACUUAAAGAUGUGUCUAAAGCAACUUUUUUUGUGAGCCUGUUCCAUAUGUCUCCCGCAAAUUCCUCCUCAAAAUUUUUACGCAACUCCAUGCCUCCUGGUUGAAGAAUCAUAGAACAACAAUUGAGUGUGCUAGAAAAGACUAAAAAUGUGCAACAGAAGAACGGUCAGCAGAAGCAAAAGCAAUAACUCACCUUCAAGCAUUUUUGGCAGGGGAUAACCACGGGAUAGUAGAUCGUUAGUAAAAGCCUUCAUGAAUUCUGGUGCAACAAGGUGAAGUGAUUAAUGACUAUGGUUAACUAAUGGCUUGCAAAACUGAAGGCAAAUUACUCACCAUUAUCCGGCAAGGGUGAAUUCGAUAAUUCACUGGUGUCUGGUGCAACAAGGUCAAUCAGUAAUGACCAUGUAUUAGUAAUACUCAAUAACAGUAGAACACGAUAUCAGCAAUGAUAAUCUAACAGCAUCAGAAGUGACCCAGCUUUGAUUCACCUUGUGAUGAUUCGCUUUCUGAAUCACUUGUAGAGGAUACAGAAGACUUCUGAUUCGUUUCUGGGCUCUUGUCACUUCCUCUACCUUUUUCUUUUUGAUGGUGAGGGGAGACAUAAGCUUAAUAAGUACAUUCUCAUACAGCUUGUCAACAUAGUGGGCAGUUGGCACAUACGAUAUUUGUUACUAUAGCAAUAUAAGUACUGGUAUUUUUUAAUAGUUUUGGUAUUCCAUACUGCAAAACAUUAUUUCUUAAACUCUUAAUCACUAAUACUUAUCCACCUUUUUACUUUUGUUCACAUGUAUACAUAUUGCAUAAAGAGAUAAUAACUGAGGGUGGUUUAAUCAUUUGAAUGCCUUCUUGGUCUAUGUAUAAGUUAAAAUACAGAAUACGUUUAUGGACAGAGGCCACUGGUGAAGAAUCUACAAACGUUCAUUAAAUUAAACUUAAUGAAAGUGAAUUUCACAACAGUACACAUUAGCAGUCUUCACGAGUAACUACUAUUCUCACCUUCUGAAUUAAGAACAACAAGAGUUGAAGAUUUACAUAUCUCACUCGUGCUUCUUUCAAUUUGGUUAUCACUUCCUUGCUUGAUACUAGCCCUGCAGCAGGAUGCUUGCCCCACCACAAAGGUACUGUUUCCAAAGGAAAAUAGAUCAUGGAACAUAUCUAAGCUAGGCAAAAUGAUACAGUUCUAAUUCUAAAAAAAAAUGAUACAGUUCUACAUAUUUUCUUUCUCACGAGAUUACCGAUAAAGCCAGUAAACACUGGUACCAUUUUCACUAGAAUCCAACACGACAGUCUAAUCAAACUUGAAUGCUAAACUGUUUAGGGGAUUAUGGGCCCGACUCACCACCCAACAGGUUUCAGCGAAAACAAUGCUCCGAAUACUGCAUGUAAGAAGAAUUACUAAGGGGAGAAAACAGGUGCCAGAACCAUGUUCAGUCCCUCAAACAGCCCAGCUUGCAGCAAUACUCAUUCGAACUUAGGUUUUCUGUGCCCCGCCUAAAUCCUAGUCCCUCCUCUGUUUGAACAAGUAAGAAUGAAAUUAUAGCAAACAUACCUAGGUAAAAAAUAUGGUACAAUCGACUUAAGAAUUGUUUCCUUUGGUAGGAAUAGAGUCCCUUCAUUAUCCACUUGAGACAUGUUCAUGCCAACAAAGUUUCCCUCAGAGUCGACAAGGGGCCCUCCAAUACCAAACUGUCAAAAGGGGAAAAAAGGGUGAUGCUAAACCUAUAGCACAAAAUAAAGCCCACAAGAAAAUGAAUUUUUCAUAGCCAAUCAUAUCACAACACAAUUAUUUAUUUCCACAAUUUCAAGAGCAUAAGGAGAGAUAUCAGCAGUGCACCUCAGGAAUAAUACAUGUGGACAUAAUAAGCUUUUGACCAUAAAGUUCACUUGAUUUCUUAGUCACUAGCCCAGUUAAGGACAUUAUUUUUCCUGUACUGUUGCAACAUAUAGCUGUUACAGUGUUAAUAUAUCCAACUUCCCCGGGCUGAUCCAGACUUGCUUCUUUAAAAACAUGGACAGGGCCCAAGCCGAUAACAGCAAUAUUGUAGUCAAAAUGAAUUGUCAUCAAGUACCCCCUCAUCAUUUGCCCAUCUGGAAGGUUCACAUGAAUCUGCAAUGAUAAACCAAGACAACAGGUUACAGAAUUAUCACCAAUACCUUAAACAGGCUAGCAAUGCAGUACAGAAAAAUUGGGAGCACCAACCAACAGAUCCAUAUUACGGUUUCUGCCACCUUGCUUACAUCUAAUCGCAGUUGCUGAAGUCAAAAAACAACUAGAGUAUUUGUUACUUUUGAUAACAAGGCCUGUGUAUUGAUAAUGUUCAUUUUUUCCUGCACAAGAUUUUAAUUUCAGUUUUGGAAAUGAUCAUUAUUAUAGAAAGUUAAAACUGAUGAUCAAAUGCAAAUAUAGGAAGCCAGUUUGUAUUAUUACCAAUGAAUGACAGUGAGACAACACUUUCAGAUAAUUUUUGCACAACUUCUGUAUGCAGUUCUACCUCGGCAUCAAGGCUGUCAAAUUCCUUGUGAGAUGAAUCAUCCAGAUCAAAAUUUCCUAGUAAAGGAGAGGCCGUUGUGAUAUAACAGAGUUGUGUAAAUACAUGAAAUAAAAGGGUGAAACAACAACACACUUAUCAUACCAUGACUUUUGUUAGCUUUCUGCUUCUCAUUUGAGCUAGAUGAGUAAUCACCUCUUCGCUUUGACAUACUUUCAACCCUGAAGCAAAAAGGAACAAAAUCCAAAUACUAAGCCAUCAGUAUCAAUUCCACCUUUUCACUUAGAACGAAACUUUUAUGAAACAAUAAAAAUAUUAUAAGUUAAGGAGGAAAUUAUUCUAGCUUCAGAAAACAAAUGUUCCAAGAAAACAGAAAAUAUAACAGAGAAUAAUUCAUUUUAAUAGUUGCAAACAAAUACUUGAACAUCAAUUGCAAACGAUUCAACACUAAUCAUUAGGUACAGAUGAUUAUAAUGCAUGGACAGAAGAUUUAAUACCACGAACUACAAAUCAAGCAUUCAAGAAAGGUAGGAAUUGAAGGGGAGUGGUGGAGUACCGUCGUUGGAAGGAGGCGAGCUGGCAAGGUCGGAAUAGCCACCGGGCGACUGCGGGAGCCGGCGUCCUUGCCCUAGCCCCUGGGCCUCAGAGCCGGCGUCCUGCGCUAGGAAGGGAAGGAGGAGGGUCCGAGUGGAAGGAGGAGGCGGCGGCACCGCGGCGAGGGCGCGAGGCGCUGUCGCGGUGGCGCCUGGCGGAGGGGUGUUAGUGGACAAUGAAGGUUCUUGGUGGGCUUGGGCCGAAUGUACGUAGAUGGACCUCUGGUUCUACUGUUAUACCAAGGUUCGUGUGGCGAGUGGACCAGACGAACUUUUUUUAUUUUUAUAUUUUUUAUUUUAGCAUUUUGCAAAAAUAUAUAGUCAGAUGAAAAAAACGUAAAACUAGGCUAUUGUCGCCGGUUGGUGACAAGGUCCUUCCGCCAGCCCAGGCGGCGGUAAGGGGCGGUUGGGCCGGUGGAAGGGCUUACCGUCAGCUGGGCGACAAGGGGUACACCCCUUUGCACCAUACUUUUAAAAAAUCAUAACUAAUUCAUAUUAACUCGGAUGCAGAUAAAUUUUAUAUAAAACUUGUAUAUCUUGACGCGUAGUUAAAACGUUUUUCAUUUGAUGUCAUAUUGGUGCUCAAAUAAUCGAUACAAGUUUCAGAUCUAAAAUUCAAUUUUUAGAUCUGAAAUUGGGCAGCACACUUUAAAAAAAUGAUAACUAUAUCAUACGAGCUCAGAUAGAAAUAAUCUUUAUAUAAAAAUUCUAUCCCUCGACGAGAUUUACAACUUCGUAGUUGAAACUGUUUUCAUUUGGAGCCAUUUAUUUGCUGAAAUAAUCGACAGAAGUUUCAGAUCUAAAAAUUGAAUUUUAGAUCUGAAACUUGUGUCGAUUAUUUGAGCACCAAUAUGACAUCAAAUGAAAAAAGUUUUAACUACAAAGUUGUAGAUCUCGUCGAGAUCUACAAGUUUUAUAUAAAAUUUAUCUCCAUCCAAGUUGAUAUGAAUUAGUUAUGAUUUUUUGAAAGUGUGAUACGGAGAGGUAUACCCCUUGUCGCCGGCUGGGCCAGCGGUGAGGCCCAGCCGGCGACAAUAGCCUUGUUUUGCAAUUUUUUCAUCCGAUUAUAUAUUUUUGCAAAAUACUAAAAUAAAAAAUAUAAAAAUAAAAAAAGUUCUGGACCAGACAGAGGCCGACAACAGCUGAGAUGAGCUCGGCUCUCCAAUCGAAAACACAUGGGAGUGUAUGGAGUUGCAUUGGGUUUAAUACCAAAUCAGUCAUGGUUUUUAAAAAAGCAACAAUUCAAAUUAUAUUGUUUGGAUGACACUUAAACUAGCUUUUGGAAUCUAGAAAGCUGCGCAAUUCAAUUCUUGUUUGGAUGUACAAAAGCAUGGCAUUGGUAUUUGUUCUCCACCCAGCCGAUCAGGCAACAACCACCACUCCUCAAGGCGUAAGUACGACUCCUCCCUACUACAACAUUGAUUUCUCCUCUACCCCACCACCCACCUCACCAAUUGGUGCGCUAUCAAGCAACAGCGUACCCCUUCCUCCAUCCAAAUCCAGCACGGGAUGCAGCACCCAUGGAAAGGAGGAGAGUGAUGGCACCUGAGCUCCAUGGCUCUGACACCUAGAUCCGAUGUCCAUGGAGCAAGUUGAAUUGGGUCUUUUCGAUUAAUGAUUUUAUUGUUGAUAAUGUUUGUCUUCUUAUGAAAUCACAGCCUUACUUUGUCAUUCGAAGCAAUUCUUUUUGAAUCGAUUAAUUACAUAACAACAUUGAAAGUCUUUUCAAACCUUGCUAACACUUGUUAUGCUAACUCUUUGCAUUUGCAUUUUGCAUUUCUUCAACAUCCACACUUUUGUUAAGUUGACAUGUUUGGUUUUCUAAAUUUUUUGGAGCCCUUGAAUUCUAUGGCUUUAACAUGGUGUUUGAUCCGAGAAUUUCAGCAACCUAGUAGUAAACAUGGUGUUUGAAACUUUGUGUAAUCUUUAUCAAAUUUCGUCCCCACCUUUCAUGUUACUAACUUCAUGCAUUCACACUUGCACACAUCGUACACUCACUAGGUCUUUAUUUUUAUUUUACUAGAUUAGCUAUGUCACAAGUUAAAGUCUUAGGGAUGUUGUUGGUUUGCUGGCAAUUGCUUCCACUCCCGAUCGUCACCCUAGGGUAGUAUGUGCAGUUGAAUUGUUUUGCAGGCAUGGUGAAGCGCCCUCAUCAAAGAAAAAAAGAGUGAAGAGAAUGAAGGACAAUAAAGGCGACAAGAGUGAAGAAGCAUGAAGAAAAACUCCGGACGUGGAGCACAAGAAUUUCAAUGAUCUUAGAAUGCUUCAUUUUCUUCUUCUAUACCUAGCACAAUGCUAAGCAAGGGGGAGGAAUUAUUGGACAAAAAGUAAAAAAUGCUAUAUGGGGUACAAGGAUCACGGCCGCCACAAUAUGCUUAUUUUUCUACUUGGAUGCUAAGCACAAUGCUUAAGCAUGGGAGAGGUUGCGCUACGCUUCAUUACAAAGAACCAAAGCAACGGUAAAUUUCUCUUGCACCUUCUCUUUUUUAUCUCUUUCUAAAUGCCUGUGUAUAAGCCUUCAACCAUAGACUCGAUGCAACAUUUGUAUAUCUCUACCACUAAUAAUAUGGCUACUACGAGGACAACCUAGUUUUAUUUUUGUUUUCAAUAAAUAAUAAUCACCAUCACUUUGUGCUCACCACGAUGAUAUAAUUUUUGUACACUCUUUCUUAUAGAAAAAUGAUUAAAGUUGUCGCUUUGCUUUUACCUAUACAAUAUUGUAUAUGGCUUGACUAAUUGCUCUCUAUUUAAUGAGUUAAAUUAAUAUAAAUACCGGUUCUUUUAUUUAUAGAGGUUAGGUUAAAUGACUAAAUCUAGACCCACAUACUUUAUGUUACUCUUUGAUUUAAGUUUAUUGAUGACCUAAUAACUUGUAUUGUUUAAAAUUUAAUUCUUAUACUGUCUACAUUUGUGAAUCUCUUGCAAAGUUCUAACUACCAUAGCCUAUAUACAUGCAAUUCUUUCAUGAUGAAAUCUUUAGAUUGCAAACUUAUAUCUGUAUGAGUUGGAUUAAGAUUGAUUUUUUGUGGUUUAAGACUUAGAAGCUAGCCAUCUCCUUUAUGUAAACUAUUUUCUUGCUAGCCUUUCUGUCCAUGCGUUGUGAGUUUCUACACUGGAAAUUUUACAAACUUCGCUGGGCAUCCACCCUAAACAAAAAUCAUCUUUUUGUGACACCUCCUUGACCACAACCCAUUAUAUGAGUAUGAAAUAUUUUUGACGAAGAUCCAUUGGAUUUCUCUAUGCCAAACCAGUGCAAAUCAUCAAAGAAAAUAACUAUAAGCUCAUGGAAAAAAAUUAAGAAGAAAUGAACAUCCAAAGGUGGUAGGCCGAUCGGCCUAGGGGUUGCUGCCCCUAUUCGCUCUAACUUUUGGCAUGAAGCAUCUCUGAGAAGAUUCAAAACCUUUCAUGAAAUUUCCUAAUGAUUUCAAACUUACUCGAGCAGCUAUUAGAUUUCACUUUUUAUGCUCGUGGCCAAGUAUCGUUCAAGCAUGGGGGAGUUGGUGCGUCAACCAUAUCCCUAACUACUGCUGAAGUAAGUGCAAUUUGAUUGUGUUGGACAAAGUCUGAGGAGCAAAAGAAAAAAAGAGAAGAAAAAGAAAAGGAAAGAAAAAAAAGUAGAAAAAGGAAAAAAGAGAGAAAAAUAACAUACUCCUCAGUACUUGAAAGUUUAUGAUUACCCGUGCCCAUUGAUAUCAUACUCAUUGUUCCAACCAUGUGCAAUCCGAUAACAAGAACUUCAUAUGUGUCUUGGGAUCGUCUUUUUGCCACUUGCACAUGUCCACUUAUCUAAACGUGUGUGUCUUAUCCCACUCCCUCUCCAACACUUAUUUUUCAUGGACUUUUUGAUAAGUCUCGGUAAUUUCAAUAGAUCUUUCUUGGUUUAACAAUAUUUUAUAUAUAAUAUUUUGCUAGGAUUGUUUUUACCUACCAAGCUCCACAAAAGCCUUCCGCUUUCGUAUAUGAGUAGAGUAGGUCGAAAAUAAUCUAGUAUAAACUUGAGUGACUUGAUGAGAUGAGUGUUUCCAUGAACUGUUGCAAGAGAAUCUCACUUAUGUUGGAUUUGUAUCUUUUUAGAAAACUCUCCAUAAUGGAAUAAGGUAAAGGUCUAAAGCUCACUAAAGUUCAAGAGCAUUGCAUUUAUUUUACUAGUGGCAUAUUUUUUUAUUGCUAGUCUAUCUUCCAUGAUGAAAAAUAGCUAGUUAUAACUUGAACUUUAAAUGUUAAAUACUUGAGAGAGCAAUGUGUCUUGUUAUGUAUAACUGAGUGUAGGUAUGACAUUGAAGGGCAAUGCUGAUUUUCUGAUUAAGCAAGUAUCCUGGAUUUGCUCAAGGGAGAGUAAGGUUUAAGCAUGGGGGAUUGUUGGUGCUCGUUAUUGCCACUUUUUUAGUGCUAUUUAAGUGGUGUUUUUGAACUAAAUCUUAUACUAACCCGGCAUGUGAAAUAACCCUAUAUUCUCAUAUGUGUUGUAUUUUUGACUAUAUUGCAAAAUGGCAAGAAGAUAUAACAUGCGACUUUUGUACGAGCUGGACUUGGACUUUGGAUAACACAAGGGGCCUGUUCGAGAAAGACGAGCACUAGCGAAGCCCAAAAGAGGGAUGGCCGAUCAGCCCAAGGCCCAUAGGUUGAUCAGCCUUGCUCAUUUCGCCCUCCAAAUGCAUCCACAUUAGACGAAUCAUCAUUCCAGAUGACUUAGAGGCGAAGUAUGUGGUGAUUUGGCAAGCCAAUCUUGUGGUGAAGCUAAAGAAAACUCAAGAUUAAAAGGUCAAAAGGCCCGCAGAAAAGCAGCAAAUCUUGCACAAGGAAUAUCUCCCUCAUCCGAACACUAGUUGGGACGAAUUUGGUAUCUAAAUUGCAUAGCUAAAGAAGAUGUACAACUUUGUAUAGAAAGUUCGGGCGUUUGAGGCCGGCAAGGUGGAGAAAUUGACUAGGCUGAUCGGCCCAACAAGCCCAGGCCGAUCGGUCAGGCCCUUUUUUGGCUCCGAUUGACGUGCAUUUUGCCCUACGGUACCUCUUGACUGUAAAUAUCUCCAUUCUCCAUCGUUAUGGGCAUCCAUUCACCAGAAGUUAGCAAAACCUAGGGCAAACACUAAAGGGAGUUGAGAGCCGCCGCAAGUCUUUGAAGUUGUCUAGAAGAUAUCUUAGGCCAAACCCUAGCCUCCAUGUCCUCCCUGUGCGGUUGUGCCAUGGCGGAGUUCAGGAGCCAAGCAUUCAUCGUCAUAGGUGUCGGAUUUUGGAUCUGGCAGUCUAAAGGGGUACCUGAGUGGUUGAUUUGUAGGCUAGGCAAUCACGAGACUAGGGAGCUCGAGGUGACACAGGAGGCGCAAGGUUUAUACAUGUUCGAGCUAUCUAAAGAUAUAAUACCCUACGUCCUAUGCUCGAUGAUGCUUGUUUUGAUUUGUUGGACAAAGCUUAAGGAGCAAUGGCGAGUUUAGGGGCUAGAAUGAGGUGUGUCCUUGGGGGUGCCCUAGGUCCGACCCAUCCUAUUUUGGAAGAAGGUGAUGUCAAAUUCGCCAAGCUCCAUUGACCACUUGACGACCCUGCCGUUGAUAUCGCGGUUGCACAGGAUCUCGCCGAGUGGGGAGUUGCAGACUACUUGGAUCUUGUGUGCUUGGAAGUAGUGUUGUAGCUUGCGAGAGGUAAUCAGGAGCGUGUAGAGCAGCUUCUGGACCAGUGCGUAGCAAACCUUGGAGUCGUUAAGGACUUCGCUGACGUAGUAGACCGGGUGUUGAACCUUCUUUUUGACUUGAACACCUUUGCUGGAGUCGUUGAGAACACCACCAGCCUCUACCCCGUCCCCUCCGACCACAGCCCCGGACGGUGGCUACCGCGCCGCCUUGCCAGCCACCCACCUCCCACCCCUUCCUCCUCUAUCCCGCCCUCCACUAACCUCACAAGUCCGUCGCCCCCGUCGCAGACUCCGCCCACCGGUUGUCGUCCACCACCCGGUCGCCGGCACCCCCGCCGCCUCGCCUCGCCGCCUCCCGACGCCAAACCUUGACGGUGCCGUCGGUGGAGCCGGUGAGGAUGAGGCUGCUGAACCUGGCCGCGGCGACGGUGUUGACGGCCGAAGCUACAUCGCGCGGCGGUGCCGCCCACCGCCCCUCCCGCCCUUCGCGAUUUAGCUGGACGGGUUGACGGAGCGGAUCCGGUGGUGAAGGUGGCGGGGAUGGCGGAUCCGAUGGGGAAGGCGGCGGGGACGGCGGAUCCGGUGGGAGGCGGUGGUGAUGGCGGAUCCGGGGGAAGAACAGCGGCGGGGACGGCGGAUCCGGUGGGAGGCGGUGGUGAUGGCGGAUCCGGGGGAAGAACAGCGGCGGCGACGGCGGAUCCGGUGGGAGGCGGUGGUGAUGGCGGAUCCGGGGGAAGAACAGCGACGGGGACGGCGGAUCCGGUGGGAGGCAGUGGUGAUGGCGGAUCCGGGGGAAGAACAGCGGCGGGGAUGGCACAUGGGGGUGGUGCGGCGGGGAUGGGAGCACGUACCGGCAGCGGGGGUGGCCUGAAAGAGCCGACGGUGGCAGCGGAUUCUUGAGGAGGGGUGCGGGUGCGGCUGGGAAAGAAGCUGAGUGUGCGGGUGCGGGUGCCGCUGGGGACAGAGAAAACUGGGCAAUAAAAGAGGGGCAAAGGGUGUCCACCCCACCUUUUAGCAAGUUUUAGCAACCAAAAACUUGCUAAAGUGCUUAAACUUUAGUAACUCAACUUUAGCAACUUUUAGCAAGGGUUUUUGGUAGUUUAGCAACUUUUAGUUGCUAAACUUUAGCUGCUAAAGUUUAGCAAGGGGUACCCAAACACCCCCUUAGCACACUCCGGAUGCUCUAAUGAGCGAGUUCCCUAUACACAUUUUAAAUAGAAAAAUAAUCCAUUUUGCUCCCAUCAUUUAAAUCAUAGUCGGCGAUUGCUUGGUGUGGUGCUUUCAUGGAGAACUUGGAGGGCGAAGCUAUGUAGGGAAAAGAGCUAGCUGUCGGUUGUGGACUGGUCUGAAUCGUGGACCACCAUGUCCGGCGCGAUGGCACCAGCGUGCGCGCGCUUUUCUACGACCACAUGUUCUAGACUAGACUGCUACAUAGAUGCAAGUUUGUGCUCGAUCCGUUCUGUGUUAAAUGCUUACGGAGCCGACAUCCGGCCACGACCAAUUCUCUUGAACAAAGUACAAUCCAGGACCCGCAUCUUAACCCGCACUGACACGCUCUGCUUACAUAACAUGGCAACACGUAGACGUGGUUCAAGUAUACUACAUGGUCUAAUGCUUGGAACAUAUGGAAGGAAACAUGCAGAAGAAUAUUCGACAACAAGUCCAUCGAAGCUAAUCAUCUAUGUGACCAAAAUCAACCAGGACAUCGCCGCCUACAAGCUGGCGAAGUCAAAUGUAGUCUAACUGCUGCUUCCCAGCGCGGUCCUGUUGUUACAUGUUUUCCUUUUCAAACUGAUUAGGUCUUUGUAAAUAUUGGCCCAUGGGGAUCCUGUACAAAACUAUUGCUUCCUACUAUAAUGAAACGGCAGAGCACCUGCCCGAGCUUGCUAAAAAAAAAAACUACAUGGUCUAAACAAAUGAUCUAAAUCGUGCCAACAUGAGGAAUGCAACUAAGGUACAACAAAUUUUUAAUAUUUACCUCCGGCUCUAAAAUUUGUUGCAACUAGUUACUCCCUCUUAUUUGCUUAUUGUGUCGGUCGUUUCAUGAUUUUUUAUGUAAAAUUUUUUACUUAGAUUGACAAUAUAUCAAUGAGUUGCUGAAUUCAUCUUGAAAUCUUUUCAUAGAACAUAAGUACCUCUAAGAGAGUACUCCGUUCGUCCAAAAUUACUAUUUAUUUGAAAAAAGUCCAUUUUACUCACCUCACCUAUUCACUUUAUCCGUCCCACCCCCUAACAAAAAUAUCAGCUCAAUUUAAUGCCUCAUUGUAUUGAUACAGGCUUAAAUCAACCCCUAAGCAGGAUUUGUCCCCGAAUUUGCCUACGUGGAAUGGUUUUGACAAGUCAACGUGUGUUUAGACCUACUUAAGCCGAAUGACAUAGACUGCUAGAGCGAGCCACUAAAAUUUAGCCAAGCCACCUAUCUCCUACGAUACCAGAAUAGGCGAGCUGCCAAGACUUCCACACCGCAUCGCGCAGACUCUUCCACCCCUCUUUGCCGCCGCAUGAAUUGGAUGAUCGGAACGACGCCGGUGGAUACUGGAGUACGAGCAGAUUGAUCGAGGUGAGUAAUCCAAACCCUAGACUACCAAUUUCUCCUAGAGAUUGGUCUGAAUCUUCUACCAAUUUCUCCCAAAAGAUUGGUUUGAAUCUUCUACCAAUUUCUCCGUGAGAUCAGUUUGUCCGUGCGAUGGAUGGCCUCUUCUUGCAUUAUGUGGAUUUAUCCUCGUUAUGGCUCCAUUCAUUAUUAGUAGAAAGUGGAGGCAUCAGUCAUUAUCUCCUUGGUCCUUAAUUAGCUUGGGUAGUACGAUGGCACUGUUCUUCCGUUGGAACAGUUACAAAACCCAAUUAUUGUUUACUAGAUUUAAGCCGAUCUGCCCCUCUGUGCGCGCGCGCUUGUACAUGGGAAUGGGAUUGGUGGUUCAAUUAAUCGGUGGUGGAUGAUUCCUUUUCCUGUAGGCUAAUGAAGAGUAUGGGAGCCAUGCUGUAGGACUGGUAGGGCCAUAAACAAAUGUGUCUGAUGCCAUCGUGAAUGAUAUACUCCAUGAAAAUACCUGCAAAAGAUACUAGGAUUCAUGUGUUAAUAUACUCCAUACAAUAACCUGCAAAAAGAAAAGGGACUGCUAGUGUAGCACAUUAGUUCUAUCUGUUCUAUAUAUUCCUAAAAGAUAAUAGGAUCCAAUAGUAUAUAUUCUUGGAAUCUUCAUGUCACAAAAAAUAUACAUAAUGUCUGUGUUUUUUCUUGCUAGAACAUGCUGAUAAAACUAACUAAUUAUACACACACAAGCACAUAAUAGUAAUAUGUGUGAUUGAUGCUUUGUAAUUUUGGUUUGCAGGUUGGAUGGAUAAUCUUGGUUUCUACCAGUGAGAUUUCAUUUGGAGGGAGAGUUUGUGCAUCUUGGAGACAAAAUUAACUUUGUUGGUGGAGAUGAAGCCUGGUCAUAUAUUGAGAGGGAAAGGAUUCGAUGUGUGAGAUUGUUGACAAUUUAAAACGACACAUGAUUAUAACCGAUAAAGAUUCCAUUUUUUGCCUUGGUGAGAUCUAACACCCCAUAUCAAUUUUUUCAUUUCAAAAUAUCCAAAGCAGCAUUUUCAACCUUUGGAAUUGAAGAAAAGUCAGGGAAAACUAUGGCAGCCUUAGCUAGUGCCAUGUAGAGCAUAUGGCCCUUGAACUGGAUAAAAACCCUUAUCUGUCCUCCAAGGGUUGCAGCCUGCUGGCAGUUGAUGAUAGCAUCGGCAGCUUGGCUAAGAACAGGAAAGGAGAGGAAAAUUAGAAUAGAGGAAGAUUAAAAGGGUGAUUUGGUCCUUUUACGCCUAUAUUACAGAGUUAACAAUGAUCUAGAAAGGUUAAAUUUUACGGUUGGAUGGCAUAUAUAGGAUAAAUUAUUUGAUGGCAGACUUCGGAUGUGAGAAUAUUGAAAUGACAAAGAAUUCUCUAGUGUUUGGUCCCAUAUUUAUUCUUAACAUACAAAUAAAUGUUUGCAGGGCUGCAGAAACACGACAUUCUAAGGGUUAUUUUAACCAUGACUGCCCUCCCCGCCUAAAUACUGCAGGUGGAGAACCGAUUUUUAAUGAUGCAUUUGAUAUGGUUGGUAUUAGCUGUAAAAAUAUAGGUGCCACACGUGUUAUGGAUGUGAGUAGUAUAACCAAAGGGAUUUCACUUUUUCAUCAAGGAAUGGAAAACAAGGUAAUGAUUUUUCUUGUACGGUAAAUUUAUAUACCAAUUCUUUCAAUGCUUAUCUUGUCUUUUCAUGUAUAGGAUCUUCAUGAAAUUAUAGAAUUUAUUAAACAAAGCAAAACAGAAUGUUGGAGUAAACGGAAACAUGAUGAACAUUCUCAAAGAAGAACCAGCAGUAGAACCAAAAAGAAGAAAGAGCAGGGGAUCUGAGGGUGGCCAAAAAAGAAGAAAGAGCAGGGAUCUGAGGGUGGCCUGGACUGCGCAUGAGGAAUUAUACCAUGUGUCUCUAUAGGGAUGUCUUUAUGCUGAUAUAAUGUAUUACUGUAAUCAGAGUGCUCUUCGUCGAGCUCUGGCUGUUAACGAACCAUGAUUUCAUGCUGCUGACUUGGAUUCGGAUUGAGCUAGAUAUGCUAUGGCGCAAGCUAGAGUUUCUGUCUUUAGAAACUAGAGUCCGAACCUGAUGUAAUAGAAGAUGGUUUUGGAUAGAGAUAGACUAGAGAUAGACCUAGUUUGAAUCAUAUUCUUGUGCAUAUAUAACACGGAACUGUGGGAUGUGAGGUUGCUAACCACGUUUACUAGUCUGCCUUAUAUUUUUACAUGGUAAUCAGAGCACUCUUCAUCUAGAGAGCGUCUAUUGCCUAUGGUGUCAUCUUCUUCCUCUGCGCCGGCCCUUGCUCCACUCAGCCCUCAAGUCACCGAGAAGCUUAUUAUCCUAUGGAAGGCCCAAGUCCUUCCACCCAUUAGGAGAGCUCAGCUGUUGAGGGAUUCAUCAAGGCUCCAUCCGAAGUUCUGGAGAUCCUCGCGGAAGACAAGUCCAAGGAGACUGUUAGCAAUCCGGCGUACUCCAUAUGGCUGGUGCAAGAUCAGCAAGUCCUCGCUUUCUUGUUCAACUUGGUCACAAAAGAUGUGUUGGGACAAGUAGCGACCUUAUCUUCGUCUGCAGAAGUCUAGGCGGCUUUGGAAAUAUGUUCUCUGCCUAGUCUCGCGUGAGGGUAACUCAUCUACGAAUGCAGCUGUUGACCCUCAAGAAGGGAAACAUGGCAACUUCAGUUUACUUCAACAAGAUGAAGGCUAUCGCUGAUGAUCUUGCGGGCGCUGGAAAGAAAGUUGAGGAUGACGAGAUGAUAUCUUUUAUCCUCACUGGUUUGGAUAGCGAGUACAACCCCAUUGUCACAUCUCUUAUGGGACGUACAGAUCAGAUCACGCUCAGCGAAUUGUAUGCCCAAGUUAUGGCGUAUGAGACAAGACUGGAGAUGCUUCGUGAGGGUUCCAUUGGCCAAUUUCAAUCGUCCGCCAAUGUAGCAGCAAGAGGAUGUGGAGGUGGCUACAAAAGCCAUGGCCGUGGUAGCUAUCGUUGCCGUGGAGCAAAUUCCCAAGGAGGACGAAGCACUGGUGGAGGUGACAGUCGUCACCAGUUCAGGACCGGUGGCCAAACCAAUUCCAAGCAAGAUGUCAGAUUUGUGAUAGGCCAAUCAUACAGCAAUAGAUUGUUGGUAUAGAUAUGACGAAGACAAUCAAGCAUACAGUAACAAGGCAUCUAACUCUGGUCCAGCAGCAGCUUAUGGCAUUGAUACAAAUUGGUAUGCUGACAGUGGGGCUUCAGAUCACAUCACUAGGAACUUGGAGAAGAUGACUGUUAAGGAGAAGUAUGGCGGCCGAGAUCAAGUUUAUUCUGCAAGUGGCCAAGGUAUGAGGAUUAAUAAUGUCGGUCAUGCUAUUUUGCAAACCCCUACUCGCAAUCUAUUCCUAAAAGAUAUCUUACAUGUUCCAAGUACACAUAAAGCCUUGCUUCUGCUCAUCGAUUAAUCUUAGAUAACAAUGUUAUAUUUGAAUUUCAUCGUAAUUUUCUCCUUAUCAAGGAUCGGGCAACGAAGAAAAUUCUCCAUCAAGGAAGAUGUGAGAGGGGUCUCUAUCCUUUGGUGCUAUGUCCAGUAGAAGGAAGUUCGAAUAAAGAGGUGCUAGCUACAGUCAGACCAUCCAUAAAACAGUGGCAUAGCCGCCUAGGUCAUCCAGCUUUUCCUAUAGUGUCUCAUGUCAUUAGAGAUCAUAAUCUACCUUUUGUCAGUAAUAAAAAUAUUGAGUCUGUAUGUGAUUCUUGCCAAAGGGCUAAAAUCCAUCAGCUUUCUUAUUCCAUAUCAGAAAAUGUUUCCUCCACUCCGCUUGCUUUGAUUCACUCUGAUGUCUUGGGACCGACACCUAUGUCUGUUGGAAGGUUUACCUACUAUGUUAGCUUAAUUGAUGACUUCAGUAAACACUCGUGGAUUUACCUUCUUAAAAAUAAAUCCGAUGUGUUCAAUGUGUUCCAUGCUUCAUUGAUGUAACAGAAGGUUGUUUUGGAUAGAGAUAGGCUGGAGAUAGACCUAGUUUGCAUCAUAUUCUUAUGAAUCAAGUUGUAACUUAUCUCUAUGUAAUCUUGACAGCCUUAUUGCAUAUAUAAUAUGGAAUCGUGGGAUGAGAGUUUGCUAACCAUGUUUACUAGUUUGCCUUAUAUUUUUACACUGGGCACCUCCAAUUAGCCUUUACAUGGAUUAGCUAGUGUUAUGUGGUACUGGUACUUCGUGCACUAAAAGUAAAACUUUAGUGCAUUCGUACAGUAUUAAAAGCUCAUAUUUGAUCAUUUAGUCCAUUAGAAUAUAUUUUUAAUGCUAAUGAUCACUUAAUAAUUAAGUCAUCUUUUGAGACAUACGCAAUUUUGAAGGCAGCCCCAACUAAAAUUUACUACGUACUUGAUUUUAGUUUUACACCUGUCACUUUCUUAUUCUACUUAGAGGGUGUUUGGAAAGGGGUGCUAAACUUUAGCACCUCACUUUUAGCACUCGAACUCCCAAACAGGGUGCUAAAAGAUGAGUGCUAAAGUUUAGCACCCUUGUUUUCUUUAGCACACCCAAGGGGUACUAAAAGGUGCUAAUGGGUGCUAAAAGUGGUCCCGAAGCUCACUUUUUCCCUAGUUGCCCCCUCUCUUUCCUCUCCACUUUUCCCCAAGCCAGUCAUAAAUGAGGGUAAUGUAGUCAUUUCUCACCCAAUGUGCUAAACUUUAGCACUGUAUCCAAACAACCUCAAGUGCUAAACUUUAGCACUCCAUUUGAGGGUGCUAAAAUUUAACACUGUGCUAAAGUUUAGCAUUGUGUACCAAGCAGAACCUUAAAAACCAAAGAGCGAAAAAAAUUCCGUACGUCCGGGUACUCCGGUCCGUCGGGUCACGGUAGACCCUCCGAUCUCCUUCCGCAGUCCCGCACCCUCUCCCUCCGUCCAUUUCUUCAGCCCCCGCCCCCAAUCCUACCCCAUGCCCGCCGUCUCCGCCGCCUUGCCACCCCAUCUUCCCCCUUCCCCCCGCGCCUGCUGCCGCCGCCCCUCUUUCCUCCCCUGCGCCAAGCCUGCCGCCGCCCCCGGUGACGAGGACCUCAGCGAUAGUCCAGUUCCCCUCUUGCGACGAUGGCGAGGACAAGAGGAGGUGGGAUGAGGACCGGGCGAGGAGGAGUGCAUCUCACUCCCCGUCUGCCAGCACUGCCCUCCAUCGUGCUCUCCCCUCUCCAACCCCGGCCGCCCCGAGCCCUCCAAGUGCACAUACCGGCCCCAAACCAAGAGGUUGGCCCCAGAUCGAGGCGCCCCUGACCUCCGUCCGUGGAGCUGCCCCAAUCUGCCGCCCCCUUCAAGCUGUCGACUGAGACUCAGGCGAGCGCCGUGGAGGCGAGUCAAGCGGGCUCCAGCGGUGCUAUGGAUGGGAUAUUUACCGCCGUCGCUGUGAGGGCUGCCACGAUCUAAGGUUCUGGCCAAUCAAUUUUUCUGGCCGAUCUAAUUGAUGCAAUCCUCCAG
rnacentral:lncRNA from 1 species